GAUGAACGCUGGCGGCGUGCCUAAUACAUGCAAGUCGAGCGAACAGACGAGGAGCUUACUCCUCUGACGUUAGCGGCGGACGGGUGAGUAACACGUGGAUAACCUACCUAUAAGACUGGGAUAACUUCGGGAAACCGGAGCUAAUACCGGAUAACAUGUUGAACCGCAUGGUUCAACAGUGAAAGACGGUCUUGCUGUCACUUAUAGAUGGAUCCGCGUCGCAUUAGCUAGUUGGUAAGGUAACGGCUUACCAAGGCAACGAUGCGUAGCCGACCUGAGAGGGUGAUCGGCCACACUGGAACUGAGACACGGUCCAGACACCUACGGGAGGCAGCAGUAGGGAAUCUUCCGCAAUGGGCGAAAGCCUGACGGAGCAACGCCGCGUGAGUGAAGAAGGUCUUCGGAUCGUAAAACUCUGUUAUUAGGGAAGAACAAAUGUGUAAGUAACUAUGCACGUCUUGACGGUACCUAAUCAGAAAGCCACGGCUAACUACGUG
rnacentral:rRNA from 1 species